rnacentral:rRNA from 1 species
GACGAACGCUGGCGGCGUGCUUAACACAUGCAAGUCGAACGGAAAGGCCCUGCUUUUGUGGGGUGCUCGAGUGGCGAACGGGUGAGUAACACGUGAGUAACCUGCCCUUGACUUUGGGAUAACUUCAGGAAACUGGGGCUAAUACCGGAUAGGAGCUCCUGCUGCAUGGUGGGGGUUGGAAAGUUUCGGCGGUUGGGGAUGGACUCGCGGCUUAUCAGCUUGUUGGUGGGGUAGUGGCUUACCAAGGCUUUGACGGGUAGCCGGCCUGAGAGGGUGACCGGCGGGCGGGGGGAAGAGGUAAGGGCGGGCAGCGGAAGGGAGGAAGUAGGCGGGGUGUGGGCAGACUGGGCGGGCGUCGGGGGCAGAAUCGUAGGGGGAGGAAGGAGGGGUAACGGGAUGUAGGAGGCUAGCGCCUGAGAACGAGGGGCAGGGAGGGUAAGGGGGAAAGAAGGACCGGCAAACUACGUG